UGUGAUUUGAUGAAGUGGGUUACAGAGC
rnacentral:piRNA from 1 species